rnacentral:rRNA from 1 species
UACGUAGGGUGCAAGCGUUGUCCGGAAUUAUUGGGCGUAAAGAGCUUGUAGGCGGUUUGUCGCGUCUGCUGUGAAAUUUCGGGGCUCAACCCCGAACUUGCAGUGGGUACGGGCAGACUAGAGUGUGGUAGGGGAGACUGGAAUUCCUGGUGUAGCGGUGAAAAUGCGCAGAUAUCAGGAGGAACACCGGUGGCGAAGGCGGGUCUCUGGGCCGAUACUGACGUGAGGAGCGAAAGCGUGGGGGAGCGAACAGG